UCUGUUUCCCAGCUGCCCUUGCUGAAGGCACUGAUUGACAGGCUGCUGCAGGACGGCAUGGAGGAGCUUCUGCUGGAGCUAACCACCUCUAGGAGAGUCAAUGAGAAGGAGAAACACGGCUCCAACAUUAUCACUGACUACACAAGAACUGUAAAGUAUGAGAUGUCCAAGGAACCUCUGACAGAGAUGGACACCAUAGAGGAGGCAGUUGAUUCUGACCUAGACAGACAGCUACCAGAACCUAACUCUGAUGCUUUGGAUGAAACGGCGGAGGGCCCCACAUUCUGGAGCCUCACCACUCUUAAUGGUCUUAAUGGGGUCCAAGACGUGGGGAGGAUAGAGAGCACCUCUGAGGGGACACUGACAGUGGACGAGGACUUCAGUGAAGCUCCCUCGCCCAAGUUGACUUUAUCAAACUCAACAUUUAACAACACUACGUCUGAAGAGAGGGUCUCUGAGGUACCAGGGGCAAUAGUAGAAACUGUUCUCCUCAGUGGGGAAGACUCCUUGAAGAAAAAGAAGAGUCGAGAACGGAAGGGCAAGGGACAGAAAGGACGACAUAAGAGGCAAAGAGAACGUCUGACGAGUACGGAGGAGGAGGAGGAAGCGGAGGAGGAAGCGGAGGAGGAGGAAUUAUACGAUGGGGAAGAGUACAGUUAUGAAUAUGAGGAUUCCACAGAUGAUCCUUUAUUGUCAAUGGAAAAGCAAGGGGAGUUUCAAAUCACAACAGAAAGCACACUACAUGGAAUGAGCAAAGAGCAGGGGGAAUUCAUCACACCUAUCCUUCCCAGCACAACGGAAGAAACAGAGAAGGACCUUUCCUUAAUCCACAAAGAUUGAGACUGUAGAUUUGUAAGCACGGAGUGUUUGUAUAUACUGUGAAGUGAAGUGUAUUGCUGGUGAGGAGCAGUCUACCCUUAACCUGACCAGCAUAACAUGAGGAGGGACUUCGCUUCGUCGCACAAUGAUGAUGUCAUUUGUCCAAUGUCACUCGUUCAAUUGCCACGUCUAUGACCAGAAUCUUUUCUUAUACUUAGUACAAGUACCUAAAAGAUGAACAAUACAUAGGUAAAGCUAAGUUAAAUCAAGACAGUGUAUUAUAUAACGAUUAUUGGACAAAUACAUUCUUCCAUCAGAUGUCAGUGUUAUUUUAGCGUUGACUUUGCAUAAACUAAUUUAUUUAUUAAAGAAGUUCAAAAUGUUACGUUGGACCUAAGCUAUAGUAUAGCUUCUCUCUGUCGCUUCAGUAUUCCAACACUUUUACCUCCUCGUAAUUUGUUCAACCAUAUUCUAAUGUUUUCAGUGUAUCGCUGCUUAUCAAUUCCUCAACCAAACGUUAUUUAUUGAAAACAUGGAAAUAGAUUGUAUUUUGUUCCUUUUCUGUAUUAGUUACUACUUUUUCCAAUGAAAUGUGUUUCCAUCAUAUUCUUCAGAAUGUAUAGUAUUGAAACCUGUUUUCACUGGUGAAAUUUUGGCAAUCUAAAGUUCUCCCUUUGUAUUUAACCUCUCU
rnacentral:lncRNA from 1 species